CCUACGGGUGGCAGCAGUGAGGAAUAUUGGUCAAUGGCCGGAAGGCUGAACCAGCCAAGCCGCGUGAAGGAUGAAUGCGCAGAGCGUCGCAGACCUCUUUUUCCGGGGGACAAAAGGCCGGACUCGUCCGGUCCUGAGGGUACCCGGGGAAAAAGCAUCGGCUAACUCCGUGCCAGCAGCCGCGGUAAUACGGAGGAUCCGAGCGUUAUCCGGAUUCAUUGGGUUUAAAGGGUGCGCAGGCGGGCCUUUAAGCCGGCGGUGAAAUCGCGGGGCUAAACCUCGCCGAGCCAUCGAUACUGGGGGUCUUGAGUACGGUGGAGGUAUGCGGAAUGCGUGGUGUAGCGGUGAAAUGCAUAGAUAUCGCGAAGAACCCCGAUUGCGAAGGCAGCGUGCUGUGCUGUGACUGACGUUGAGGCACGAAAGUGCGGGGAUCGAACAGGAUUAGAUACCCUAGUAGUC
rnacentral:rRNA from 1 species